CCUCAUGUUUGUGAUGGGCGUGAACCACGAGAAGUACAACAACUCCCUCAAGCUUGUCAGCAAUGCGUCCUGCACCACCAACUGCUUAAGAGUGGAAGAGAGGCGGUGUAGGUAAAGAGU